UUAUACGUUUGAAGGAAAUGUUUGUUACUGUGCACAGUAAUGAAAAAUCGUAAGUGGUACAUUAAAUUUGCAAUUUCAUUUUUUCAUUUCUAACAAAUGUCACGUUCCUAAGCUUAUAUCUAUAGCUGAUGUAUAUCAAUGGAGCAUACAAAUGCAACACGGACAUUUAUAUUUGCAGUCAUCCCUAUUACAACUGAUCAUUGCUCAGAAAAAUCGUAAAGCCAUGAAAUUGGAGAAACACGGUUUCUGUUAUCUUCGACAAUAGAAAAGUGAAGCAAAUGAUUGUUCCCACAUCGAAAUAAGAAAGGCUUCAGAAAGGACUGGCAGUAACGUUAUGAAUCAUCACCGUUACAGAUUGGAAGCAUUCUAAACGGCGAACAGUUUAAGGCACUAAAAAAACAACAGUUCGCACUUACUUUCUCUGGAUCGGUCACGAUCAUGAAGUAAGAUAUCUUAUGACCUUUCCGAUGUCGAUAUAGGGUACACAGCCUUUCCAAAUGAAAUGGACUGAGUUACACUUUCGUAUUCCGUAAGCAAUUUCAUUUAUUGUUUCUUAUUUGAAAAUAAUAAGUCGCUGGAGCUCAACUAAUCAUCUGGAAACGCCCUGAAUUUUCAAUCAUAUCUUUAAUAGUUUUUGGUACCUUAGUGGUGUAAUUAGAAGAACGUGCGGCCAGCAACAGGAAGAUGCGGAGUCUCAAUCCCGGCAACGGCAAUGCUGUUUUCUCACGUUACCUUAUUGGAAAAAAUGUAAUCUAUAGUUUUUAGCGUAACUGAUGUUAAAAUAUUAGUUAAGCGUUAAUGAUGCUAAAAUAUUGAUCAUUUUCUUCUAAUAUGAAAUUUAGGUUCUUAAUUAAAUAAUUUUAAAGAUC